AAAGACUUAUAUGAGGAAAGUCCGGGCUCCACUAGAGCAUGAUACUGGAUAACGUCCAGCGAGAGUAAUCUUAGGGAAAGUGCAACAGAAAAAAACAGCGUUAGCAAUGGUGAAAAAGUGAGGUAAGAGCUCACUAGAGAUUAUAGUGAUAUAGUCUUUGUGUAAACCCUAUCUGGAGCAACGCCUUGUAAAUCGGAGUAAAAAGUAGCUCUAACGUUCCUCCGUACUGAGCGGCUAGAGGCUAGGAGUAAUUCUAGUCCCAGAUAAAUGACCACAUGACAGAACCCGGCUUAUUGUCUGC
rnacentral:RNase_P_RNA from 1 species